rnacentral:rRNA from 1 species
GACGAACGCUGGCGGCGUGCUUAACACAUGCAAGUCGAACGGAAAGGCCCUGCUUUUGUGGGGUGCUCGAGUGGCGAACGGGUGAGUAACACGUGAGUAACCUGCCCUUGACUUUGGGAUAACUUCAGGAAACUGGGGCUAAUACCGGAUAGGAGCUCCUGCUGCAUGGUGGGGUUGGAAAGUUUCGGCGGUUGGGGAUGGACUCGCGGCUUAUCAGCUUGUUGGUGGGGUAGUGGCUUACCAAGGCUUUGACGGGUAGCCGGCCUGAGAGGGUGACCGGCCACAUUGGGACUAAGAUACGGCCCAGACUCCUACGGGAGGCAGCAGUGGGGAAUAUUGCACAAUGGGCGGAAGCCUGAUGCGGCAACGCCGCGUGCGGGAUGACGGCCUUCGGGUUGUAAACCGCUUUCGCCUGUGACGAAGCGUGAGUGACGGUAAUGGGUAAAGAAGCACCGGCUAACUACGUG